CUUCAGCUUUUUGUGAUUUUGGUACGCGUGCUCCAAAUUCAGACUUCAGACAUUGGGGCCAACAUGGCAGACGUUGCACCCCACUUGAUACCAAAAAAGGGCAUAACUUCUUGGUACAGAUGAUCAAUUUGAGAAAAUAGACUAGGUGAAACUGGGAAGAACCUAGUACCUACUGGGCUGCACCCAAUUUAAGCUCCCUGGGUAGCGCCACAGUGGCAACGAAAGUGCAAUAAUUUAUCGGAAACAAAAAAAUGGCCGAGUCACCAGGACGCGUACGGCGGACUUUUGACUUCUCUGAGUCCGAAUCCGAAGACGACUCGGAAGAAAAUGUUUUCAAGACCGCUAAGAAAGUGCUGCCUGGAAAGCAAGGUCUGGAUGCAGAGAAAAUUAAAAAGAUUGACCGACCAAGCUCAGCGAAAGACCUAUCUGAGGAUGAAGUGCAAGAUAUGUACACAAUAGAGUAUGAGAUUCAAGAACACUCUGGGACUAACGAAGGGCAAGACACUGGUUCAACAUCGGAUCCUGUAAAUUUUCGAACAGUGUGCAAGGAAUGUGGAACAUCCUUUUCAUGUAAGGAAAUGUUUUUCCUUCACCGCCACUAUCACACUCACAAAGAUGAACUCCUUCCCCUCAUCUGUGAACAAUGCGGCCUCUCCUUUACGGAUCGUUGCAGCCUCAUUAGACACAAGCAUACGCACACAGAAGAGCCAAAAUAUGUGGAUGAAGUUAGAUUUCAGUGUGCUUCGUGUGAAACGUUUUUCCCUACUCCGCAAGAAUUGAGGUUACACCAAUGUGACGAUACAGAUGACAAACCUUAUCAUUGUACUUUGUGCCGCAAAGAGUUCCAAUUAACGUGCGCUGUCGCCAAGCACAUGCUAAACCACUCUCAAGAGGGCAGCUGGACAUGCCAAGAGUGUGGUAAAAGCUUCCCAGACUACAGGACAUUGCGCUGCCAUCAGCAAUGUCACGCUGUCCUUAAAACCUUUGAAUGUCCGAAGUGCAACAUGACUUUCACACACAGGUAUAUCAUGGAAGCCCACCUGAGUAGGCACACCAAAAGAGAGCGUGCUUUCCUUUGUCCCAUUUGCGGGAAGACUUUCAAGUGCAACAGUCUUCUUCAAGAAAAAGCGCGUACCAAUAGAAUUACCUUCUGCUGUCCUGACUGUGAGAUUCAGCUCGCUGGCCAAAAUGAGAGCACAGAUGAAGAUUGAUGAGGUGGAGAAUGAUUUACACGGGAGGAGAGUGCAACUUCAUUCACAGUUUUAAAAGGUGUUGUUGGAAAGGUGUCUGAGAAAGAUGCUUUGGACGAGAGCGAGAAAAACCCAGAACGAGAGAGAUGAUGAGGAUCCUUACUGUGAAAAUGAAGAUUGAAAGGAAGACAAACAAGGUCAAGGAUUAGGUCUGGUCACAGGAGCACCUCCCAACCUCAGAACAAUGGCUGCACACCUCCUUGUUUUACAGAGACUUCCUCAUUGGUAGCCGUUUAGUGGAGAAAUCAGGUGGACAAGUUGUCAGGAAGUAGCAAUUUUUUUCACAGUAGAUGUUAGAACACUUGUUUGAGCUACAACCCCAGCAAAAAGUAUGGAAUCGCCAGUCUCGGACGAGCACUCACUCAGACAUUUUAUCAUGUAGAAAAAAACUCAGAUAAAAAGCUUGAAAAAUAAUGAAUUCGUUCAAAAGUGCAACUCUUUAGCAUUCAGAAACACUAAAAGAAAUGAAUUAAAAACAUUGUGGUGGUCAGUAAAAUGUUACUUUUAGAGAGCAAGUGCAGGGAAAUAAAUAUAGAAUCACUCCAUUCCGAGGAAAAAUAUGUGGAAUCAUGAGAAACAAAUAAUAAUCAAAACAUCUCGAGUAUUGAGUUGCACCACCUCUGGCUUUUAUGACAGCUUGCAUUCUCUGAGGCAUGGACUUGAUGAGUGAUAAACAGUAUUGUUCAUCAAUUUGGUGCCAAUUCUCUUUGAUUGCAGUUGCCAGAUCAUCCUUGCAGGUGGGAGCCUUGCUGUGGACCAUUUUUUAAAAUUUCCUCCAUAGAUUUUCAAUAGGGUUGAGAUUUGGGCUAUUUGCAGGCCAUGACAUUGACUGGAUGAGUCUCCAAGGAAUGCUUUAACAGUUUUAACUCUGUUGCAUGAUGCAUUGUCAUCUUGGAAAAUGAUUUCAUUAUACCCAAACAUAUUUUUAAUUGAAGGGAUAAGAAAUCUGUCUAAAAUUUCAAUGUAAACUUUUGCAUUUAUUGAAGAUUUAACUACAGCCAUCUCACCAGUGCCUUUGCCUGACAUGCUGCCCGUAUCAUAAAGGACUGAGGGAAUUUUGAUGUUUUCUUCAGGCAGUCAUCUUUGUAAAUCUCACUGGAACUGCACCAAACAAAAGUUCCAGCAUCAUCACCUUGUUCAAUGCAGAUUCUUGACUCAAAAUAACCUUCAUCCAGUCAUUCACAGUCCAUGAUUGCAUCUCCUUAGCCCAUUACAGUCUUUUUCUUUUCUGUUUAAGUGUCAAUGAUGGUUUCCUUUUAGCUUUCCUGUAUGAAAAUUCUAUUGCUUUUAGACUAUUUUUGCACAGUUCUGUUGCAUACCUUGACUCCAGCAUCCUUCCAUUUCCAUCUUCAUUUGUCUUGUUGUACAUCUUCUGUUUUCAAGACAUAUUGCCUUUAGUAGUUUGUCAUGACGUUUGGAUGUCGUCCUCGGUCUACCAGUCCGCUUAACUUUAAGAACCUUGUCAUGCUGUUUGUACUUGGUCCAGAUUUUUGGUUACAGCUGACUGUGAACAGCCCACAUCUUUGGCAACCAUACGUGUAGUGUUACCCUCAAGAAGUUUGAUAAUCUCUCCUUGGUCUCAAGAGACAUCUCUCUUGUUGGAGCCAUGAUUCUUGGUCCAGCAGCUCUCCAAGGUGUGAUAACUGCACCCUUUUUAACUGCUGACUAACGAGCAGAUCUAAUCUGAGGCAGGGGCCCAAUUAAGGAAAGGAAAUUGACUGGGUGUGUCUGUAUUUUCUACUCAAAAUGGAGUGAUUCUACAUUUUUUUCUUCAGAAUGGAGUGAUUCUAUAUUCAUUUCCCUGCACUUGCUCUAUAAAAGUAACAUUUGCUGACCACCACAAUGGUUUUUAUUCAUUUCUUUUAGUGUUUCUGAAUGCCAAGGAGUUGCACUUUUGAACUAAUUCCUUAUUUUUUCAAGCUUUUCAUCUGAGUUUGUUCUACAUAAUAAAAUGUCUGAGUGAGUGCUUGUCAGAGACGUUUUGCUAGGGGUUGUACAAGAGGUGUUGCACUCUCCAGCACUCCUAUUAGUCUCUGAAUGAGCAGCAACAAUGAGAGCAACAAACAUGCAGUUCUUGCAUAUAUUGAUGACAUAACAUGUCAAAGUGCUUCAAAUGAAGAUUAUUUUCUUAUUAACGUCAAGUAGAUUACUCGUAGCUGCGUCAACAAACUUAAAUUUUAGAUUUUUACUUAGAUUGCAAACCAUAUUAAACAAAUGUAAUGUUAGCUGUAUCACUUAAAGCAACACUCGGUACCUUUUCAACCUUUAUAAAAUAUUUUCAUAACAUUUGUGACAUGUCGACUGACAACUUCUUGAAUGACACCUCUUUUAUAUUUUGAGGGGCUCUGUAUCGCUUUCACCGACACUCAUUAACUUUAGAGACAAAACGUUUUGUCUGAGGAGGAAAAAAAGGAAGGCUACAAGGAUAUACAGAAUAAACAUUGACCCGGCUUUCACUCGCUGACGUAAGGCCCCCCCUCCCCCCAGCGCUGCAGCGUUGGUCCUCAUGGGAAACGCAGUUUUCCUUAAGGGAAAGCACUACCGCUUUUGUCCACCGGCGUCGCAAAAAUCGAGCAAAACUGAAAAGUUACCUAGUGUUGCUUUAACCAUGUGUUACUAGACAAACUCUAAGACUAACUUAAAGCUCACUGGUUUUAAAGGGAAAGGCAACACCUAGUAUAAAUGACUUUCAUAUGAACGACGUCUGUUUUAAGUAUUUACACAAAUUUCUUUGACCUUUGAUAAUGGAGAACCUAAUGUUUAAAUAGAUAAUGACAUGGCUUACGAACGCAGGCAUUUUUUUGACAUCAGUUACAGAUAACAUCACCAGAAACGGGCAAAUGGGAUACUUACUUUUAUUUGGUUAAAAUUGUUACGUUUUGUUGUUCAUUUUGAUCUAAUGUCUGCCUCCACACUGAAUGGUCACUUCCUGGAAAUACUGAUUUGUAUUGAUGUUUCUCUCCACUCUUACACUGAAACUAUUUUACGAAAUGAUUUUUGCAGUGAUGCAAAUGGCUAAGGUGUUGUCUUCCCUUUUGACAGCAUCACAGCUGGAGCCAAGAUUGUUUUCUAGCUGGCCUAUUGCCAUCGUAUGUUUGAUUUUGUGAAAGCGAUAUUUUUGCAGAUGUGAAAUACAUUAAAGUUCAAACUAAAUGUAUGACUUGUUGGUUGCUUGUGAUCCUCUUGCAGAUAUUAUAGGGUUGUAUUAGUAUUACUUUCCAAUAAUGUCGGUAUGAUUUUUUUUUUUUUUUUUUAUCAACAUUUUAUUUCCUCACUUUCUGCCAUAAAUGGCGCUUGACGUCCAAUUUAUUUAACUUAGACAGGCUUAUAGUGAAUGGCCGCUACCAGGACAGUGAAACAUGAUCAUUCAAAACCAAUCCUUAUAUAUUUGCUCUGAAAAUUGAAAAAGUUUUGUUUUAUGAAUCUUACCUCACACCGCUUAUCUUUGGCUUCCAAUGACGGCAAUAGACGCCCAAUCCAUUUUAACUAGGAGGUUCUGUAACUUCUCAGUAUAAAUGGACUGGACGUCUAUUGCAGUCGGUAGGUGUUUGGGUGUUGGAGAGCAUUUAAAAAAAAAAAUCUUUAAACAGCGAAACCCUAUCUGGAGGUGAGAGCACGCGAAAGCAGAAUUAAAGACGCCAUGACUUUGAAGAGAUAUUAUCGCGUACUUACUAGAUGUGAAUGGCCACAGCUGGAUUUUUGGGGGGGAUUUUAUGGGUGAAACAUGGUAACAUAACAAGAGUUGCGAUGCAGAAAUCGCAGACAUCCAGAAGAGGUCGAGAUUUUCAUAUAUUUACCCUUUUAAACGUUUUUUUCACCAUUUUUCUUUGGAUCGAUUAUUUAUCAUGUAGCAUAUCGGAGAAAAUGCGACAGUAACAAAAGAAAAAAAAAACAAGCGAUAUUUAUGAGGUAGAUAUCCUUGACUUUUUUUACAGACACCAUUUUUUUCAUUGUGACGUUACUUGUUUAAAAGUUUAAAAUAUGUGAGUGAACAAUUUUUUAAAGUUUUUUUUGGGGGGGGACGAAAUAUUAGACAUCAAUUAAUGAUUCUAAGCUUAAAAUGACAGACAUUUUGAAUAAUAUAAUUACUUCUUUUUAUGGCUGGGUUGAAACAACAGCGGUUGUGCGACGUCUGUAAAUGGGGGUUUCCAGGGUAAAACGGACAAAUUAAAAAUAGUUCGGGGACUUAAUACGCCAUGAAUCUGCUAUGGCAGCAUAUAGACAUAUUUUUUUAUCAAACACAACAGCUCUUUUAGCUUCAAAUACAGUAGGUUAUUUUAAAGAGGGGUACAAGAGCAGAAACUGCUUUUUCAGCCAUAUCUGUGUUUUCCGCCAUAUACAUAUAUAGCAGAAAACACUCAGGUGACUCGAA